rnacentral:misc_RNA from 1 species
AUUUAGUUACAAAUUUUAUUCUGUAAAAGUAAAAUUUCUCAAAUGGGCCACAAUUUGCUAGUCGCUCUUGCUGCCCCACUUGACAUGCCGUCCAACUGCCACACAGUUCCAACGGGAUCAUGUGCCAUGGGCCGAACGUACGCGACGAGAGAAAAUAGUUAUCAUCCUGUUCUACGGCGUAAUGCUGGCCCUGGUUGUCAAUAUUGUGGGCUGGAUAGCGUUCAUCUGUGUCUUUAUGCAUCCAGGCAUACAUGCGCCGCAGCGCACCAAAGAGCCAACCAGCAACAAUAAGCAGGUUACAAUAAGCGCCUUGAGCCAGGCGAUAAGCCCGAACACUUAGUUCACUUACCCGUCGAGCAGGACACUUUCCAGGUGGAGGCGCACAAAGGCGACUAUCGAUUUUAACACACGCGUCACUGGGUCACAUAGCGCCCG